rnacentral:rRNA from 1 species
UGAAGGGCCGCGGUAUUUUGACCGUGCAAAGGUAGCAUAAUCAUUAGUUCUUUAAUUGUGAUCUGGAAUGAAUGGCUUGACGAGACACGAGCUGUCUUAAGUUUGAAUAUUUUAUUGAAUUUGGUUUUUGAGUUAAAAUUCUUAAAUGUUUUUAUGGGACGAGAAGACCCUGUAGAGUUUGACAUAUUAGUUUAUUUAUUUAUUUGUUUGUUUCAUUUUUGGUAAGUGGGCUUUUUGUUUUGUUGGGGUGAUGAGAGGAAUAUAUUUUAACUCCUCUUGGUUUUUGGUUAUAUUGAUUUGUAUUUAUUUGAUCCAUUUAUUUUGAUUAUCAAAUUAAAUUACCU